AGUGAACGCUGGCGGUAGGCCUAACACAUGCAAGUCGAACGGCAGCACAGUAAGAGCUUGCUCUUACGGGUGGCGAGUGGCGGACGGGUGAGGAAUACAUCGGAAUCUACUUUUUCGUGGGGGGUAACGUAGGGAAACUUACGCUAAUACCGCAUACGACCUACGGGUGAAAGCAGGGGAUCUUCGGACCUUGCGCGAUUGAAUGAGCCGAUGUCGGAUUAGCUAGUUGGCGGGGUAAAGGCCCACCAAGGCGACGAUCCGUAGCUGGUCUGAGAGGAUGAUCAGCCACACUGGAACUGAGACACGGUCCAGACUCCUACGGGAGGCAGCAGUGGGGAAUAUUGGACAAUGGGCGCAAGCCUGAUCCAGCCACACCGCGUGGGUGAAGAAGGCCUUCGGGUUGUAAAGCCCUUUUGUUGGGAAGGAAAAGCAGCAGGUUAAUACCCCGCUGUUCUGACGGUACCCAAAGAAUAAGCACCGGCUAACUUCGUG
rnacentral:rRNA from 1 species